rnacentral:snRNA from 1 species
GUCCCUUUGGGGACAUUCGAUAAAAUUCAAACGAUACAGAGAAGAUUAGCAUAGCCCCGCACAAGGCUGACACACACAAAUCGGAAAUGGUCCAAAAAGUU